rnacentral:rRNA from 1 species
UACGAAGGGUGCAAGCGUUACUCGGAAUUACUGGGCGUAAAGCGUGCGUAGGUGGUUUGUUAAGUCUGUUGUGAAAGCCCCGGGCUCAACCUGGGAAUGGCAAUGGAUACUGGCAAGCUAGAGUACGGUAGAGGGUAGUGGAAUUCCCGGUGUAGCGGUGAAAUGCGUAGAGAUCGGGAGGAACACCAGUGGCGAAGGCGGCUACCUGGACCAGCACUGACACUGAGGCACGAAAGCGUGGGGAGCAAACAGG